rnacentral:snRNA from 1 species
UUGUGCCAGCUUUGUCAACAAGUAUUCUAAAAUUUAAAUAAUGCAGAGAAGAUUAACCUGACCCUGGACAAUGGUGACCUGAAAAUUCAUGAAACAUUUCAUAUUUUC